rnacentral:lncRNA from 1 species
CGUUUUAUAUUAAACAUUAAAACUAAACAAAUUAACUACUCAUUCCUUCAAACAAACAAUGAAUUAUAAAACCAAAAAUCCAGAAAUUCCCACCGACAAGACUCCGACAAAACCUCCUGACACCAUAGCUUCUGGCCAAACUCCGACAUAAACUCCCAAAAAAUCUGGUGAUGAAACAAAAUCCACCGGUAAGCAAAUCAUCUAUAGGGGAGCCCAAACCAGCCAACACAAUCAAAUCCAAGCAAACAAUUAAUAGAUCUGUUUGAGAUUCAAAAUUCAAAACACCAAAUCAUGAAAUUCAAAAUUAAUAGAUGGUGGAGCAUGAGGUACCUGUUUUCUUAAUGGCAGCACUUUGAAGUCCUGAUAGACUGCUCCACUGACGAAACAUAUGACUUCACGAACACAAACAAGUAUACCACUGGAAUCUAAACCAAACUCAGAUACCGGCAUAUUCAAGAUCUGAUUUAAGUACCCCAUAUCCAAACGAAUCCCACUUCCAAACCCCAACCCCAACAUCCAUCGAGAUCCGAAACCCCAGAUCCAUGAGCCCCAAACGACCACCACUUCAAUCAUAAAUUUUCAGUUUUUUCAGAUCUAACCGAGUUAGAUGAGGAAUUGCAAAUGAUUGAGGAUUUCCAAAAUCAAAACACUAAGUCAUUUAUUGCAUUUUCAACUUCUUCCUCCAUUCUUUUUAUUUUCUUUCUUGUUGCGCUUCUUCAGAUUGGGGAACGAGAGUUUUGUGGGUAGCAGCCGCAGAGAUUUUAGAUUGGAGAUGGUGGGGUUUUGAUUAUGAUUGAAAAAAGAAAAUUUUUGCAGCUGGGUUCACGGGGUGGGGACCGCCACCGGAAAUGGGUAAAGGAAAGGGGAAGAGGAC